ensembl:lncRNA
ACCAGAGCAGGUGCAUUUCACUGAUGCUGCAGCUCCAAAUGAAGCAUACCACAGGUGAUGUUCAUUAUGGAAACCAGAGGGAUAUAACGGAAACCAUGGGUUAUUGCUGAUGGUGGAGUGCCAAAGGAAUAUCUUUGAAGUCUGAGAGAAAGAGUGUUGCUCAAGUUGUUGCCUUCAAAAAUCAUUUGGAGCCAAGGAGACUGACAGAAGUCUGCAUGUGCAUUGUUCAACUGCUGGUCAGACACAAUAUAGAAACUGCACUACACUGUACACCAUUACUGUUCCUACUGUGUUUUCAUACUGAAGAUAAAUAUUUCCACAGCAUCUUUUUCCAACUAGACUUAAAAGAAACAGAAAAUCCCAGAUAAAAUGAAAGCCAUAAGUAAACAAUAGCCAUUUGUAUCUGAAGACCUGCCCUAGCUUUGGGUGUCCUCUCAGGAAACAGCAUCAGAGCCACCCCAGGUUGGCAGGAUCCUUACUUCUGCCUCUCUUCCUUCUCUGGAGGUGCACAACACUGGCACCAGCCAUAUUCCUUUGGACACUCCUUCUCCUCACCAUCAAUGGCUUGAGGCACUGCUUUUCUUUAUCUUUUACAUCACCUUUUGUUUCUGUGUAGAUGUCAGUGAUACCAUUCCCAACAGUAAGUAGCACUUCCCAUCACAGAGAGAGGUUUUACUCCAUUUUCAAGUACUGCAAAGCUACAGGUAAAACAAUGGUAAAACUGGUGAACACCAUAGAACUCAGCCUCUAUGGAACUAAGAGUUCUGAGCCCUUUGCAGCACUGCUAGCACUGCAGAAUUUUGUCAAGGGCAGAGAGACACAUGCUGAAGCAGCUAGCUGUGUUCAGAGAGUUUGUGCAUGGCAGCACAUAUGCCUAUUAAAAACAUUUGCAAGGUCUUUUCUCUGGGGGAUUAUGCUGGGUGUUACACCUGGCUAUUUUUAGG